UUAUCUGACCAACCAUAGCUUGCCCGCUGCUGUAAUUACUCUGUGGGAAUCUGCAGCAGCAGGCAAGCUAUGGUUGGUCAGAUAACAGUAGA